rnacentral:rRNA from 1 species
GACGAACGCUGGCGGCGUGCUUAACACAUGCAAGUCGAACGGUAAGGCCCUGCUUUUGUGGGGUGUUCGAGUGGCGAAAGCGUGAGUAUCACGUGUGUAACCUGUCCUUUACUUUGGGAUACCUUCAGGAAACUCGGGCUAAUACAGGAUAUGAACUCCUGCUGCAUGGUGGGGGUUGGAAAGUUUCGGCGGUUGGGGAUGGACUCGCGGUUUAUCAGCUUGUUGGUGGGGUAGUGGCUUACCAAGGCUUUGACGGGUUGCCGGCCUGAGAGGGUGACCGGCCACAAUGGGACUGAGAUACGGGCAAGACGGCUACGGGAGGCAGCAGUGGAAAAUAUAGCACAAUGGGCGGAAGCCUGAAGCAGCAACGCCGGGUGGGGGAAGACGGUCGUCAGGGUGUAAACCGCUUGCGCCUGUGACGAAGCGUGAGUGACGGUAAUGGGUAAAGAAGCACCGGCUAACUACGUG